CCCUGGGAGUGGGCGGCAUACAAAUACCAAUAAACUUCAAACUUCAACUAUGAAAGCCUAUCAACUUUUUCCACUCUAUACAAUUACAGAAAAAAGUAAAUAUUUUAGUUUUUGUUUGAACAGGUGUUCAAAUGCAACCAGGGAAUCAAAGAAACCCUUUGUGAUUGAAUCUUUUCUGGAAAUAUUAUAAAAGCGGACAAGGAACUAUCCUGCCAUUUGGUUAGGACCAGAACGAUGGCGACCGCAUAAGAAGGGAGCGAAGACAGAGAAGCAGUGGAAAUCGGAUACUUGUUACUAUUGCUGACAACCCAAAGAGGAAGGCAACGUGAAACUGGCAGAGAGGGUGAGCUGGAAAGAAGAAAGCGUCGGGAGAGAGGCUGUUUUUGCAGCUCAAUUUUGCCGAAAAGAACUGGAGCAAAGAAUUUCAAAGCAGUGAUUCAACUUCCUUACAAGAGCUUAUCUACAUAAAUUCAUUAUUUCUACAUUAAUCAUUCUAAUUUUUUUUUAAAAAAGAAAGAAGACAUUUUAAAUUCUCUGUCAUCACAAGUAUUUAAAAACAUUUUAAGUAGAGCUGGCAUUAAUCAGCCUAUCCCACAAUUUAAAGACAACAGUAUGAUGCAGUGCAUUUUUUUUCAAAUGAAAGCACACCAGGGAAAAUUCUCAUGUGCACACUUUUCCCUUUCCUUUGUCCAUAAACUAUAGAUAUCCAUGAUCAUACAAAGUAGAUUUUGCCUGCCUUGUACUCACAGGACUUUCCUAUUUUAUACCAUAAAUGACCAGUUAAGAUAAAGUAUUUUCAUUGCAUGUGAUUCAAAUGUGUUAUUUCAAAAGUAAUCCUGCUAAUCCCUACAUUUGUAGGUAUUAAAAUUAAAAUAUAUAUUAGUUUAGCCAGUAUUCGGAAUGAUGGAAACAUGAUGGUAUGGAGGCCCAGAAAGGUUGUGGAAUCCGUUUAGUUAUACUCAGAUCGCUAUGAAUACGGUACUUGCUAGACUUUUGGUUACAACUGGAAGGACAACAAAAGAUCAAUGACAGAUUUAAAAAAAUACCAUCCUCCUAAGCUAAUUUGUCACUCAUUAAUUGCUACAUGAACUGCACUUUGGACCAGAGCAAAAAAUGGUAACUGGUGAGGCAGCAGUAAUCUUAUAUUGAACAGAGAAACUGGGAGGUUUCGUAGGAUCUCUGAAUGGCAGGUAUACUUAAAAUCAGUUUGAAAGCAAAUAGUUUUCCAUGAUGACUUCUACUUCAAGCGGUUAGCACCAAAUUUGUAACUGGAUAAGGCUUCUUUUGAGUCAAGAUCAACUAUUGGUGAAUCUAUGAUCAGACACUUACCCCUUCCUUGACAAAAGUAAAAAAGCAGCAUCUACAUCUUCUGGCUAACCUGCAGCUCACGCACAUAAUCAAGCAGAGAAUCAGUCCACAGUGUUUUCUUCUCCUGGCAACAAUUUUUGUAAGCACAUAUUACUCACUGAAACAUGUUCCUGCAAGCAAGGAUUUAACACUCCAUAUAAACUAACAGAACAACAGUUGUCACUGAAUGAGUUUUUGAGAGUUCUUUAAAGGGUAUUUAGUUCUUUUCUAUGAAAAAGAUGAAAACAGUACAUAUAGUCCUCAACUUACAACAGUUCGCUUAGUGACCAUUUGAAGUUACAAUGGCACUGAAAAAAGUGACUUAUGAUCAUAAGUGUUGCAGCACCUAACUGUUUUACUAAUUUAAUAACUGCAGUGAUUCACUUAACAAAAGUGGCAAGAA